GACGUAGGGCGCGAGCGUUGUCCGGAUUGAUUGGGCGUAAAGAGCUCGUAGGCGGCUCGUUGCGUCGGCUGUGAAAACCCGCAGCUCAACUGUGGGCCUGCAGCCGAUACGGGCGGGCUGGAGUUCGGUAGGGGAGACUGGAAUUCCUGGUGUAGCGGUGAAAUGCGCAGAUAUCAAGUGGAACACCAGUGGCGAAGGCGAGUCCCUGGACAACUCCUGACACUGAGGCACGAAAGCUAGGGGAGCAAACAGG
rnacentral:rRNA from 1 species